AGGACGAACGCUGGCGGCGUGCCUAACACAUGCAAGUCGAACGGAACCAGCAAUGGUUCAGUGGCGGACGGGUGCGUAACACGUGAGGAACAUGUCUUUCGGUGGGGGAUAGCCGGCCCAACGGCCGGGUAAUACCGCAUACGCUGCUCGGAGCUCCUGCUCUGAGUCGGAAAGCAGCAAUGCGCCGAUCGAGUGCCUCGCGGCCUAUCAGCUAGUUGGUGAGGUAAUGGCUCACCAAGGCGACGACGGGUAGC
rnacentral:rRNA from 1 species